UACGUAGGGUGCGAGCGUUGUCCGGAAUUAUUGGGCGUAAAGAGCUCGUAGGCGGUGUGUCACGUCGGCCGUGAAAACCUGCAGCUUAACUGUGGGCGUGCGGUCGAUACGGGCAUCACUGGAGUUCGGCAGGGGAGACUGGAAUUCCUGGUGUAGCGGUGAAAUGCGCAGAUAUCAGGAGGAACACCGGUGGCGAAGGCGGCUUCCUGGCCUGUUCUUGACGCUGAGGCGCGAAAGCUAGGGGAGCAAACGGG
rnacentral:rRNA from 1 species